CCUACGGGUGGCAGCAGUGGGGAAUAUUGGGCAAUGGGCGCAAGCCUGACCCAGCAACGCCGCGUGAGGAAGAAGGCUUUCGGGUUGUAAACUUCCUUUCUUAGGGACGAAGCCAGUGACGGUACCCGAGGAAUAAGCCACGGCUAACUACGUGCCAGCAGCCGCGGUAAUACGUAGGUGGCAAGCGUUAUCCGGAUUUACUGGGUGUAAAGGGCGUGUAGGCGGGAAAGCAAGUCAGAUGUGAAAACCACGGGCUCAACCUGUGGCCUGCAUUUGAAACUGUUGUUCUUGAGUGCUGGAGAGGCAGGCGGAAUUCCUAGUGUAGCGGUGAAAUGCGUAGAUAUAAGGAGGAACACCAGUGGCGAAGGCGGUCUGCUGGACAGCAACUGACGCUGAGGCGCGAAAGCGUGGGGAGCAAACAGGAUUAGAUACCCGAGUAGUC
rnacentral:rRNA from 1 species